UGUGCGUGCGUGCGUGCGAGAGUUGCCCCAAGACCAGGGAUCAUAGACCUGAGUUUGCCCAAGUAUUCCAGGAUAUGUAGGCAGGUGUGCAGGGCAUGGGGGUGCCCAGAGGGGUGCACUGUCCUCCCAGAUGGCAGCCCACAUAUUGGAUUUUGGAUCUGCAGUCACUGAGUGUGGGGAGUGACAUGGACAAGCGGCUCUACUUCUCCCUGCUGCCCUCUCCAAGCCCCCACCAGCCUCUGUCCCCUCUGCCAUCCUUGUGUGGUGGCCCGUCUCCAAGAUGGCCCCAGGGAACCUGUCUCCUGGUAUUCAGUUGCUCCCACACUGAACCAAGCUGAUCUGUGUGGCUUCUUCCAUCUUGGUCUUUUGGCCCACUUGCUCUGGGGGAAGCCAGUCCCCCCAUUCCAUGAGGAUACUCCAACUACCCCAUGGGGAAGCUCAUGGGGAGAAGAACAGAGGCCUCCAACCAAUAGCCAUGUGUAUGGACCACCUUGGAAGUGGGUCCUCCAGCCCCAUCCAGCCCUCAGAGGACUGCAGCCCCAUGAGAAGCCUCAGGCCAGAAGGCCCAGCCGAACCACUCCCAAGUUCCGACCCACAGAAACCGAGCGAUACUGAGUGAUGGUUGCUUUGAACCAAGGGAGAGUGUCACCGCAAUCGCACGAGCAGGUAGAAUUGACCGUCUCUUCUCGGGCACAGAGCACGUGCGGCCAGUGGCCAGUGGCUCACUAGUAGCUGCUGGUCAGGACCCUGCAAGGCCCAUGCGGACCGGCCGAGGCCUUCGGAAGGGAGUUGGCUCGCAUGAUGAAAACACACAAGAGGAGGAUGAGGCCUCGGGCAUAGCUGGCUCCAGAUUCACCAGCAGCGUCACCGGGAAUAGGUCUCUGUCCGUCCCUGCCUUCUGCUUCCCCUGCUGGGUUCCCCCGCCCGGCACGCUCUCCCUGGUGGUGGCAGUAGAUCUAGGUCAGCCUCAGCCUGCGCCCGUCUUGUCCCCGUGCAGUGCCGGGACCCUGUCCUGAUUGGACUGUUCUGGGUCGUGCCCCGCCUCCAGGGCGCUGGGGGACAUCAGGCCCAUCGAUGAGCCACAAAGACCAAGAAUGGCCAAGGAAUGGAAACCGGUUGCUCUUACUGAAGGAAGGGAAAGGGGUGCUGCUGGUAGGCAAGGCAAGGGGCGGCCAGUCUGGGUUCCAAGCCCCUGUCACCGGACUCCAGGGUCGUGCUGUCAGUCCUGGGGCCUCCUGUGCCACCUGCAUGACACGGAGCCGAAGUGAGAUCCAGGUGUGGCUGGGAUGCCGUCGGGGGGGGGGGCGCUGACUCCCAGGCCUCCUGCCCCGCAGCUGCCCACAGGGAGCAAGCACCCCAAGGGCACCGAGGGCACGGAGGCUUUGCAGACAAGUGGGACAUGGCGGGGAGGGACUGCUCCGUCUCUGUGCUGGGGACAGCAGAGGGGACAACUUAGGGACACAAAGCCAACAGGUGGCUUUAUCACGGUUUUUCCACCACCACGAGUUACCGCUUGGCGUGCAUUGUGGGUGUGUUCAGUGCUUUAAUCUUGAGGCAGCGCCAGGAGGAAAGGAAAUACCGCCAUCCCCUCGAACAGGGCGAAGGCUGAGGCUCCGAGGGUUCCAAUGGGCUGCUCCUAGUCCCGCAGGCCUGGAUCCGUCCAUGCUGUCUCAUUCCCUCAGAGGACAGACAGAGGCCCAGGGAGGGAUCAAUCCCAGCUUACACACACACACGCACACACACACACACACACGCACACACUGUCCUGGGCACCUCUGGACCCCUCUCAGCUCCCCUUUGUUUGACCGGCAUUGUGUUUUUGAAUAGGUAAUAGUCAUAGGUUUCAAAAUUCAGAUGUGACAAGUGUUGACUGAGAAAGUGUUGGCUUGGGGCCCCCAAAGAUGUCCAUACCCCAAUCCCCAGACCUAUGACUAUGUCAUUUUCUUUGGACAAAAGGGACUCUGCAGAUGUAAUGAAGUUAAGGACCCCGAGAUGGGAGAGUAUCCUGGAUCAUCCAGGUGGGCCCUGAAUGUGACCAGGAGGGUGCUUAUAAGAGGGAUGCCUGAGGCCAGAGGGGCGUGAGAAGGUGCUGUCUAGUGGCUCUGCAGAUGGAGGAAGGGGGUCUCAGUCAGCUCGGCUGCCAUCAUAAAUACCACAGACGGGGGCCUUCAACAGCAGACAUUUAUUUCUCACCGUUCUGGAGGUGAGAAGUCCAAGGUCAGGUCCAGUCAAUGAGAUUUUGGGUGAGAGCCCUCUGCCUUCCUUGCAGACGGCCACCUUCUCACUGUGUCUUCACCGGGGGCGGGGAGCAAGCUCUCGGGCCAUUCUUCUUAUAAGGGCACUAAUAAUAAUAAUAAUGCACCUUUUCUUACAAGGGCACUA